GAUGAACGCUGGCGGCGUGCCUAAUACAUGCAAGUCGAGCGAACAGACGAUGCUCUUGCUCCUUUGUCGUUUGCGGCGGACGUGUGAGUCACACGUGUAUCCCCUACCUAUCAGACUGGGAUAACUUCGGGAAUCCGGAUCUUAUCCCGUAUAAUAUCUUGAUCCGCAUUGUUCAUUAGUGAAAUACGGUUUUGCUGUCUCUUAUCGAUGCUUCCGCGCCGCAUUAGCUAGUUGGUAAGGUAACGGCUUAUCAAGGCAACGAUGCGUAGCCGACCUGAGAGGGUGAUAGGCCACACUGGAACUGAGACACGGUACAGACGCCUACGGGAGGCAGCAGUAGGGAAUCGUCCGCAAUGGGCGAAAGAAUGACGGAGCAAGGCCGAGUGAGUGAUGAAGGUCUUCGGAUCGUAAAACUCUGUUAUUAGGGAAGAACAAAUGUGUAAGUAACUAUGCACGUCUUGACGGUACAUAAUCAGAAAGCCACGGCUAACUACGUG
rnacentral:rRNA from 1 species